GCCAGUGUGGCAUAGUGGUUUGAGCCCUGGACUAUGACUUGAGAUCAGGGUUCGAAUCCCCACUCAGCCA